rnacentral:rRNA from 1 species
UACCCGCAGCACAAGUGGUGGUCAUUAUUAUUGGGCCUAAAGCGUCCGUAGCUGGCUUGUUAGAUGCCUGGGUAAAUCGAUGCGCUCAACGCAUCGAACUCCGGGUAGACCGGCAAGCUUGGGACCGGGAGAGGCGUGAGCUACUCGAGGGGUAGGGGUAAAAUCCUGUAAUCCUUCGGGGAGGACCAGUGGCGAAGGCGGCUUGCCAGAACGCGCUCGACGGUGAGGGAUGAAAGCUGGGGGAGCAAACCGG